GUCUUUUUCUCUGGCUUAUGGUCAUCAUGUUUCAUCCAAACCAAGCAGCUCUGCUCUCCUUAUUAUUUAUGCACGGGGUCUUUGCAGCGGAUCAAAAAGUCGUCCACACGGAUGAAGAGGUGUCCAGGGGAGGCUCUGUCAUCUUUACUUGCAACACAUCAAGAGAAAAUACAAAACAAAUCAACUGGAGCAAAGGCAGAUUUCGUUUUUCUCAUUCAAUGGAAGGAAAUGUGACUGUUUCAAAUUUAACCUCUGACAGACUGACAAUAGAUCUAUCCUCAAAGCUGAUUAUUUCUAAUGCUCAGGAAGAUGAUGAAGGACUAUAUACAUGUCAUUUAACUGAAUCUUCAGGGUCAAAGACUUAUCAGUGGAAUUUAACCGUGUCUGACAAACCUGAAGAGGAGAAGUCAUCGGGGUAUUUCCUAUACAUACUCAUAGCUGGGAUUGGAUUCCUUCUAUGUGGCAUCCCUCCAGCUGUUUAUCUCUGCA